rnacentral:rRNA from 1 species
UACGUAGGUGGCAAGCGUUGUCCGGAUUUACUGGGCGUAAAGAGCGCGCAGGCGGUCGUUCAAGUCGCGUGUGAAAGCCCCCCGGCUCAACUGGGGAGGGUCACGCGAUACUGAUCGACUCGAAGGCAGGAGAGGGUAGUGGAAUUCCCGGUGUAGUGGUGAAAUGCGUAGAUAUCGGGAGGAACACCAGUGGCGAAGGCGACUCUUUGGCCUGUAACUGACACUGAGGCGCGAAAGCGUGGGGAGCAAACAGG